rnacentral:rRNA from 1 species
CAGUCGCCGCGGGAAUACGAAGGGUGCAAGCGUUACUCGGAAUUACUGGGCGUAAAGCGUGCGUAGGAGGUGGUUUAAGUCCGUUGUGAAAGCCCUGGGCUCAACCUGGGAAUUGCAGUGGAUACUGGGUCACUAGAGUGUGGUAGAGGAUAGUGGAAUUUCCGGUGUAGCAGUGAAAUGCGUAGAGAUCGGAAGGAACAUCUGUGGCGAAGGCGACUAUCUGGGCCAACACUGACACUGAGGCACGAAAGCGUGGGGAGCAAACAGGAUUAGAUACCCCAGUAGUCCCUGUCUCUUAUAC